rnacentral:tRNA from 1 species
GGGGGCGUGGCGGAAUUGGCAGACGCAGCGGACUUAAAAUCCGCCGCCGCAAGGCUUGCGGGUUCGAACCCCGCCGCCCCUACCA